UUUUCUUUUUUUUUUUUGCCAUUGCGUUGUUAGUUUAUUUUCAAUCUAUGAGUUUGAAUGUCCCUCUGGUAUCUUUUGCACACCUUUACACAGUCGUUCAGUCUAUAUGUAUUCCAAAACCGGACAAUCGAUCUGUAAUCUCUCUACCGACAUACACAUAUUUAAUGAUGAUAACCACCUUCUAUUUUACGUCAUAUUUAAGCGUUCAAUUUCUUGCUGAGCAAAAAGGAAUAAAUAAAUCAAGC
rnacentral:lncRNA from 1 species